AUGUUGGAAAAAUGCAAAUUAUGAUAUGAUAAACAUUCAAUAACUGGAGUAAGUUCACUUCCAAAUGAAAGACACUUGGCACCCAGUAACAGUAAUGAAAUUAAACAUCACUGAAGACAGUAAGGAGGUCUGCCUGGAACCAUAUCUUUAGUGUAGAUUCACAAUCAAUCCAAUCUUUCAACCUACAUUUUAAUAAUUUAGCUUUAGAAGAAUAACAUGUGAAUCAGUUUUUCUCUAAUAAGGCCCUGAAAAAGUUGUAUCCUGAAGCA
rnacentral:lncRNA from 1 species